rnacentral:rRNA from 1 species
CCUACGGGAGGCAGCAGUGGGGAAUCUUGCGCAAUGGGCGAAAGCCUGACGCAGCCAUGCCGCGUGAAUGAUGAAGGUCUUAGGAUUGUAAAAUUCUUUCACCGGGGACGAUAAUGACGGUACCCGGAGAAGAAGCCCCGGCUAACUUCGUGCCAGCAGCCGCGGUAAUACGAAGGGGGGCUAGCGUUGCUCGGAAUUACUGGGCGUAAAGGGAGCGUAGGCGGAUAGUUUAGUCAGAGGUGAAAGCCCAGGGCUCAACCUUGGAAUUGCCUUUGAUACUGGCUAUCUUGAGUAUGGGAGAGGUUAGCGGAACUCCGAGUGUAGAGGUGAAAUUCGUAGAUAUUCGGAAGAACACCAGUGGCGAAGGCGGCUAACUGGCCCAUUACUGACGCUGAGGCUCGAAAGCGUGGGGAGCAAACAGGAUUAGAUACCCUGGUAGUCCACGCCGUAAACGAUGAGUGCUAGUUGUCGGCAUGCAUGCAUGUCGGUGACGCAGCUAACGCAUUAAGCACUCCGCCUGGGGAGUACGGUCGCAAGAUUAAAACUCAAAGGAAUUGACGG